rnacentral:rRNA from 1 species
GACGAACGCUGGCGGCGUGCUUAACACAUGCAAGUCGAACGAAGUGGCGGACGGGUGAGUAACGCGUAAUCAACCGGCCCUUCAGAGGGGGACAACAGUUAGAAACGACUGCUAAUACCGCAUACGGAAGGAGGGGAUUGCGUCUGAUUAGCUAGUUGGCGGGGUAACGGCCCACCAAGGCGAUGAUAAGUAGCCGGUCUGAGAGGGUGAACGGCCACAUUGGGACUGAGACACGGCCCAGACUCCUACGGGAGGCAGCAGUGGGGAAGCUUCCGCAAUGGACGAAAGUCUGACGGAGCAACGCCGCGUGAGUGAUGACGGUCUUCGGGUUGUAAAGCUCUGUUAAUCGGGACGCGGUACCUGAAUAGAAAGCCACGGCUAACUACGUGCCAGCAGCCGCGGUAAUAC